rnacentral:rRNA from 1 species
AACGAACGCUGGCGGCAUGCCUAACACAUGCAAGUCGAACGAAACCUUCGGGUCUAGUUGCGCACGUGUGCGUAACGCGUGGGAACCUGCCCUUAGGUUCGGAAUACCUCCCCGAAAGGGGUGCUAAUACCGGAUAAUCUCUUCGGACCAAAGAUUUAUCGCCUUUGGAUGGGCCCGCGUUGGAUUCGCUAGUUGGUAGGGUAAAAGCAUACCAAGGAGACGAUGCAGAGCCGGUCUGAGAGGAUGACCAGCCACACUGGGCAUGAGACACGGCCCAGACUCGUACGGGAGGCAGCAGUGGGGAAUACUGGAGAAUGGGCGAAAGCCUGAUAAAGCAAUGCCGCGGGAGUGAUGAAGGCGUUAGGGUUGUAAAGCUGUUUUACACGAGAUGAGAAUGACAGUAACGGGAGAAUAAGCACCGGCUAACUACGUG